GUCCCUACAUGGACAUGUGCCUCUGAAAUAAACGUUUCCAGAAGGAAGUCACAAGAUGGCGUGUGCACACAGUCUGCCAUGAUGGGUUGCUGACUGCACCUCAUGCUGCUGCAAACCGUGACGCGAAUCUCCCGGGCGUUUCUGGGCACUCUCUCCCUGAUUCAGUUUAUGGGAUUCGAAGCUCAUUGAGUGGUGAGCGCCGCCCUGCUCUCCUGCUGAAAACAUGCCUGUGAUGGAAGAGUUCCCACUUUUCUGAGAUGACCA